CUGCUGCCUUCCGUAGGAGUUUGGGCCGUGUCUCAGUCCCAAUGUGGCCGUCCACCCUCUCAGGCCGGCUACUGAUCGUCGCUUUGGUGGGCCGUUACCCCGCCAACUGGCUAAUCAGACGCGGGCCCAUCCUGUACCACCGGUAGUUUUCAAAGGAUUACCAUGCGGUAUUCCCUAUUAUGCGGUAUUAGCACCUAUUUCUAAGUGUUACUCCCCCGGUACAGGGCAGGUUGCCCACGCGUUACUCACCCGUCCGCCACUAAGACAGAUU
rnacentral:rRNA from 1 species